CCAGAACUUUCAUAGGUCCUCCCUUAGGCUAUGAGACCAGGAUUUGGUAGCUGGUGCUAAGAAAAAAACCUUGAUUGUAUCCUUUUUCUGGGGCUGUGCCAGUGACAGCUGUCACUCAGUGAGACAGAG